rnacentral:rRNA from 1 species
CGGACGGGUGAGUAACGCGUGAGAAUCUACCCUUAGGAUGGGGACAACAGUUGGAAACGACUGCUAAUACCCGAUGUGCCGAGAGGUAAAACUUAUAUGGCCUGAGGAAGAGCUCGCGUCUGAUUAGCUAGUUGGUAGUGUAAGGGACUACCAAGGCGACGAUCAGUAGCUGGUCUGAGAGGAUGAUCAGCCACACUGGGACUGAGACACGGCCCAGACUCCUACGGGAGGCAGCAGUGGGGAAUUUUCCGCAAUGGGCGAAAGCCUGACGGAGCAAGACCGCGUGAGGGAGGAAGGCCUACUGGUUGUAAACCUCUUUUGAUAGGGAAGAACACAAUGACGGUACCUAUCGAAUCAGCCUCGGCUAACUCCGUGCCAGCAGCCGCGGUAAUACGGAGGAGGCAAGCGUUAUCCGGAAUUAUUGGGCGUAAAGCGUCCGUAGGUGGUUAUCCAAGUCAGUUGUUAAAGCGUAGAGCUUAACUCUAUAAGGGCAAUUGAAACUGGGUGGCUAGAGUGCGAUAGGGGCAAGGGGAAUUCCCAGUGUAGCGGUGAAAUGCGUAGAUAUUGGGAAGAACAUCGGUGGCGAAGGCGCCUUGCUGGGUCUGCACUGACACUGAGGGACGAAAGCUAGGGGAGCGAAAGGGAUUAGAUACCCCUGUAGUCA